GCCUGGGUGGCUCAGUUGGUUGAGCAUCCCAUUCUUGAUUUCUGUUCAGGUCAUGACCCCAGGGUUGUGGGAUUGAGUCCCACCUUGGGCU
rnacentral:tRNA from 1 species